GGUUUCUGAUUACAGGGAGGAGACAUAAACACACAUAUAAGGGGGCGGAGCUCUGCUCAGGUGUUGCUGAAUCAGGAAAUGAGGAAGUUGAGAGUUUUCCUCCAUGUCAGAGCAGACAGAGCAGGACGAGACGGUGGCUCCAACUUUCUUCUUCAUGGUGAAGGUGGAAGGUGUGUGUGAGCUGAUGUGGAUCCAGUGAAUCCAGCAGCAUGGAUCAGUGGGAGGACACACAGGAGGGAGCCCC
rnacentral:lncRNA from 1 species